rnacentral:lncRNA from 1 species
AAAAUUUAAAAUUGUUCAUGGGGGACAAAACACCCCAAAAGUACAUAACCAAAAUCAAAAUACACAAAUCUGAAAAUACAAUAGAAAUAAAACAUAAUAUAAAAAACUAAAAUAAACUUAGCCCUCCAAGGACUCAGAACCCUCAUCACUACCAGCUUCAGAAUCGGUAGCCUCAUCAUCAUCAUCAUCAUCAUCAUUAUCAUCAGCAGCACCAGAAGAAGCAC